GACGAACGCUGGCGGCGUGCUUAACACAUGCAAGUCGAGCGGUAAGGCCCUUUCGGGGGUACACGAGCGGCGAACGGGUGAGUAACACGUGGGUGACCUGCCCUUAGCUCUGGGAUAAGCCUGGGAAACUGGGUCUAAUACCGGAUAUGACUCCAUGACGCAUGUUGUGGGGUGGAAAGCCUUGUGCGGCUAGGGAUGGGCCCNCGGCCUAUCAGCUUGUUGGUGGGGUGAUGGCCUACCAAGGCGACGACGGGUAGCCGGCCUGAGAGGGCGACCGGCCACACUGGGACUGAGACACGGCCCAGACUCCUACGGGAGGCAGCA
rnacentral:rRNA from 1 species